rnacentral:rRNA from 1 species
UGGGGAAUUUUGGACAAUGGGCGAAAGCCUGAUCCAGCAAUGCCGCGUGUGUGAAGAAGGCCUUCGGGUUGUAAAGCACUUUUGUCCGGAAAGAAAUCCUUGGCUCUAAUACAGUCGGGGGAUGACGGUACCGGAAGAAUAAGCACCGGCUAACUACGUGCCAGCAGCCGCGGUAAUACGUAGGGUGCAAGCGUUAAUCGGAAUUACUGGGCGUAAGGCGUGCGCAGGCGGUUUGCUAAGACCGAUGUGAAAUCCCCGGGCUCAACCUGGGAACUGCAUUGGUGACUGGCAGGCUAGAGUAUGGCAGAGGGGGGUAGAAUUCCACGUGUAGCAGUGAAAUGCGUAGAGAUGUGGAGGAAUACCGAUGGCGAAGGCAGCCCCCUGGGGCCAAUACUGACGCUCAUGCACGAAAGCGUGGGGGAGCAAACAGGAUUAGAUACCCUGGGUAGUCCACGCCCAUAAACGAUGUCAACUAGUUGUUGGGGGACUUCAUUUUCCUUAGUAACGUAGCUAACGCGUGAAGUUGACCGCCUGGGGAGUACGGUCGCAAGAUUAAAACUCAAAGGAAUUGACGGGGUC